CCUGAAAAGGCAUGAGAACAUAAACACAGUUUGGUUAGAGUUUUAGUUCGGGAACCUAAUUGUGGAAAGACAUUUUCCCGGACAGAGAAUCUGAAAUCACAUGAGAGCAUAGACAAGACUAGUGUUCUGACUUAUGUUUUUGAGUGUUGUUUUUAUCAAACCCCCCCCCCCCUCCCCCUAAAUAGUCCUACUUUAGUUUUUUCCUCUUGAGACAUGGUUACAAUAAAGUUACAAUUUAAAAUGUGUAUUUUAUUUGUAUUUUUAUUUUGGAUUGAUUGAAUAGAAAUAUGAACCCUCAGAUGUUAAUGAUUUGGAAAGUUGUCAAAUGUAAUUAUUAAAUGGAGGACUAUAAAACGUUUGUAUUUCUUAAUUAUAACCUUCAUGAAUUUAGUAUUUUGGUUUCAUUGAGUUAAUUUGUGCACCAGGGCUCUAUUCAGUCUUUACAGCUGAAGCGUUACAGGUUCCGCUAUAAAAAUAUAAAAGGUCAUUUCGGAUUGAGCCGACACGUGCAGGGUUUACCUUGAAUGCAUUGCCUUUACAUUUCAAUCACGCUGUAAAGCUGAACUUGGGCCUAGUGGAUUCAAUAGAGCCCUUANNNNNNNNNNAAGCGUUACAGGUUCCGCUAUAAAAAUAUAAAAGGUCAUUUCGGAUUGAGCCGACACGUGCAGGGUUUACCUUGAAUGCAUUGCCUUUACAUUUCAAUCACGCUGUAAAGCUGAACUUGGGCCUAGUGGAUUCAAUAGAGCCCUUAGUCUUCAAGCUAAAGUUGUAUAAAAAUGUGAUAACGUAGUUCUGAUAACGAUAAGUUGCUGACAAAAAAAACUAUUUCCUAGCUACUUCAUGAAUGUUUCCCAUCGGUAUUAUUAAACCAUUUCCCAGCUACUUCAUGAAUGUUCCCAUCGGUAUUAUUAAACCAUUUCCCAGCUACUUCAUGAAUGUUCCCAUCGGUAUUAUUAAAACAUUUCCUAGCUACUUCAUGAAUGUUCCCAUCGGUAUUAU
rnacentral:lncRNA from 13 species